rnacentral:rRNA from 1 species
AGCGAACGCUGGCGGCAGGCCUAAUACAUGCAAGUCGAACGGCUCUUCGGAGCAGUGGCGGACGGGUGAGUAACGCGUGGGAACGUGCCCUUUGGUUCGGAACAACACAGGGAAACUUGUGCUAAUACCGAAUGUGCCCUUCGGGGGAAAGAUUUAUCGCCAUUGGAGCGGCCCGCGUCGGAUUAGGUAGUUGGUGGGGUAAAGGCCUACCAAGCCUACGAUCCAUAGCUGGUCUGAGAGGAUGAUCAGCCACACUGGGACUGAGACACGGCCCAGACUCCUACGGGAGGCAGCAGUAGGGAAUCUUGCGCAAUGGGCGAAAGCCUGACGCAGCCAUGCCGCGUGAAUGAUGAAGGUCUUAGGAUUGUAAAAUUCUUUCACCGGGAAGAUAAUGACGGUACCCGGAGAAGAAGCCCCGGCUAACUUCGUGCCAGCCGCCGCCGUAA